rnacentral:rRNA from 1 species
AAAGACUUGACGGUACUUCACAACACCCUAGAGGAGCCUGUCUAAUAACCGAUACUCCACGAUUAACCCCACCUAUUCUAGCCCUACAGUCUAUAUACCGCCGUCGCCAGCUUACCUUGUGAAAGAAAUAAAGUGAGCAAAACAAACCACCUCUAACACGACAGGUCAAGGUGUAACUAAUGAACAGGCAAAAGAUGGGCUACACUUUCUAACACAGAAAACACGAAUCAAAUCAUGAAACCACAACUGAAGGCGGAUUUAGCAGUAAGAUAAAAAUAGAAUGCUUAACUGAAACCAAUGCAAUGAAGUACGUACACACCGCCCGUCAUCCCUG